CCUACGGGAGGCAGCAGUAGGGAAUAUUGCUCAAUGGGGGAAACCCUGAAGCAGCAACGCCGCGUGGAGGAUGAAGGUUUUAGGAUUUUAAACCACUGUCCCCAGGGACGAAAAUGACGGUACCUGGGGAGGAAGCUCCGGCUAACUACGUGCCAGCAGCCGCGGUAAUACGUAGGGAGCGAGCGUUGUCCGGAAUUACUGGGUGUAAAGGGAGCGUAGGCGGGGAUGCAAGUUGGGUGUCCAAACUACCGGCUCAACUGGUAGUCGCACUCAAAACUGCAGCUCUUGAGUGAAGUAGAGGCAGGCGGAAUUCCGAGUGUAGCGGUGUAAUGAGUAGAUAGUAGGAGGAACACCAGUGGCGAAGGCGGCCUGAUGGGCUUUUACUGACGCUGAGGCUCGAAAGUGUGGGGAGCAAACAGGAUUAGAUACCCUGGUAGUC
rnacentral:rRNA from 1 species